UACAGAGGGGGCAAGCGUUGUUCGGAAUUACUGGGCGUAAAGGGCGCGUAGGCGGCCCGCUAAGUCGAACGUGAAAUCCCCGAGCUCAACUCGGGAACUGCGUCCGAUACUGGCGGGCUUGAAUCCGGGAGAGGGAUGCGGAAUUCCAGGUGUAGCGGUGAAAUGCGUAGAUAUCUGGAGGAAUACCGGUGGCGAAGGCGGCAUCCUGGACCAACACUGACGCUGAGGCGCGAAAGCCAGGGGAGCAAACGGG
rnacentral:rRNA from 1 species